ACGGUCGCAAGAUUAAAACUCAAAGGAAUUGACGGGGACCCGCACAAGCGGUGGAUGAUGUGGAUUAAUUCGAUGCAACGCGAAAAACCUUACCUACCCUUGACAUGGUCGGAAUCCCGCUGAGAGGCGGGAGUGCUCGAAAGAGAACCGGCGCACAGGUGCUGCAUGGCUGUCGUCAGCUCGUGUCGUGAGAUGUUGGGUUAAGUCCCGCAACGAGCGCAACCCUUGUCCUUAGUUGCUACGCA
rnacentral:rRNA from 1 species